UACGAAGGGGGCUAGCGUUUCUCGGAAUUACUGGGCGUAAAGGGCGCGUAGGCGGAUAGUUCAGUCGGGGGUGAAAGCCCGGGGCUCAACCUCGGAACUGCCUUCGAUACUGGCUAUCUUGAGUACGGGAGAGGUGUGUGGAACUCCGAGUGUAGAGGUGAAAUUCGUAGAUAUUCGGAAGAACACCAGUGGCGAAGGCGGCUCACUGGCCCGAUACUGACGCUGAGGCACGAAAGCGUGGGGAGCAAACAGG
rnacentral:rRNA from 1 species